CCUACGGGUGCGCUGCAGUGGGGAAUAUUGGGCAAUGGGCGCAAGCCUGACCCAGCAAUGCCGCGUGAAGGAAGAAGGCUUUCGGGUUGUAAACUUCUGUGACAGGGGAAGAGCAGAAGACGGUAUCCUGAAAACAAGCCACGGCUAACUACGUGCCAGCAGCCGCGGUAAUACGUAGGUGGCAAGCGUUGUCCGGAUUGACGGGGUGAAAGGGGCGUGUAGCCGGGAAGGCAAGUCAGAUGUGAAAUCUGGAGGCUCAACCUCCAAAUUGCAUUUGAAACGGUUUUUCUUGAGUACUGGAGAGGCAGACGGAAGUCCGUGUGUAGCGGUGAAAUGCGUAGAUAUAAGGAGGAACACCAGUGGCGAAGGCGGUCUGCUGGACAGCAACUGACGGUGAGGCGCGAAAGCGUGGGGAGCAAACAGGAUUAGAUACCCGAGUAGUC
rnacentral:rRNA from 1 species